UGGGAGGGCGUUCCACAGGGCGGGUGCCACCACCGACAAGGCCCUCUGCCUGGUGGCCUUCACACUCACAGCCGGGCGAUGUUCCUCCGGCCUCAUGAGGAGCCUCUUCAGUGGGGCUGGUGAGUGUGGGCCUUGCCCCAUGGCCAGGUGGAAAGAGCCUUGCAAGGAGUGGCCUUAUUGCCCCACAGUCAGGCAAUGUUACUCCGGCCUCAUGAGGAGCCUCUUCAGUGGGGCUGGUGAGUGUGGGCCUUGCCCCAUGGCCAGGUGGAAAGGGCCUUGCAGGGAGUGGCCUUAUUGCCCCACAGUCAGGCAAUGUUCCUCCGGCCUCAUGAGGAGCCUCUUCAGUGGGGCUGGUGAGUGUGGGCCCAGCCCCCUAGGCCAAGUGGAAAGGGCCUUGCAGGGAGUGGCCUUAUUGCCCCACAGUCAGGCAAUGUUACUCCGGACUCAUGAGGAGCCUCUUCAGUGGGGCUGGUGAGUGUGGGCCUUGCCCCAUGGCCAGGUGGAAAGGGCCUUGCAAGGAGUGGCCUUAUUGCCCCACAGUCAGGCAAUGUUCCUCCGGACUCAUGAGGAGCCUCUUCAUAGAUAUUUAUUAAAGUUUUUAAGGUAUAACAAAGAAAUGAAAAAAUAAAAAGAAACAUACAAAAUAAAAACAGUUAAAAACACAUUAAUUUUCCAUAGCAUAUCUUCCUUACACUCAUUUCCCCGGACCUCCUCGUACCUCCCUUUUUUGUAUUCCAGUUCAGUUUGUUAGUUCAGCAAAUCCUUACCAUUAAGCUUUUACCCAUUUGUAAACCUUUUUUCAUAUCUCUUAAAGCAUUACAGCUGGAAACCACUUAGUUUCUAUCCAACAUCCUUCUAAGAUUCAUUAAUUUUACAAUAUUUCUGUAAAUAGUCUUUAAAUUUCUUCCAAUCUUCUUCCACCGACUCUUCUCCCUGGUUUCGGAUUCUGCCAGUCAUUUCUGCCAAUUCCAUGUAGUCCAUCACCUUCAUCUGCCAUUCUUCCAGAGAGGGUAGAUCUUGUGUCUUCCAAUACUUUGCAAUGAGUAUUCUUGCUGCUGUUGUAGCAUACAUAAAAAAAGUUCUGUCCUUCUUUGGCACCAAUUCAUGAGGAGCUUCUUCAGUGGGGCUGGUGAGUGUGGGCCUUGCCCCAUGGCCAGGGGGAAAGGGCCUUGCAAGGAGUGGCCUUAUUGCCCCACAGUCAGGCAAUGUUACUCCGGCCUCAUGAGGAGCCUCUUCAGUGGGGCUGGUGAGUGUGGGCCUUGCCCCAUGGCCAGGUGGAAAGAGCCUUGCAAGGAGUGGCCUUAUUGCCCCACAGUCAGGCAAUGUUACUCCGGCCUCAUGAGGAGCCUCUUCAGUGGGGCUGGUGAGUGUGGGCCUUGCCCCAUGGCCAGGGGGAAAGGGCCUUGCAGGGAGUGGCCUUAUUGCCCCACAGUCAGGCAAUGUUCCUCCGGCCUCAUGAGGAGCCUCUUCAGUGGGGCUGGUGAGUGUGGGCCCAGCCCCCAUGGCCAGGGGGAAAGGGCCUUGCAGGGAGCGGCCUUAUUGCCCCACAG
rnacentral:lncRNA from 1 species